AUUUUGUGUAUUUGGAAUAGUUUUGGGGGCCACUAAAUGUACAAGUAAAUCUGAUAUGGCAUAUAAAAUACUUUCUUUAUGAUGAGUUGGUUAGAGAAAUACUAAAUAAAAUAGAUGCAGUUAUUGCACACGAACCUAAGCAUGAAGUUUAAAAAUCACAAAUUAAUAUUAAAUUGUAUUUGUUUUUAUACCACAUUCUGCUACAAAUACGUUUUCUACAAGCAGUCAGCAAAGAAGAGCUCUGAUUGGCUGCCAGGUGAAUGACAUGUCAACUUACCUUAACAGGAAAAAUAUUAUACUGCCUUCAUUUUACCUUGUACGGAAGUGGAAGGAAAUUUGGAAAAUUUAUAUGGAGUUUAUUCUCUAGAGGAGGAAGUGUGGAUAAUUGACAAUUUCAAAUUUUAGCCCUGAAACAAAAUAGAAUUUUUACAACUGCCAGUUAAAUGAAUAUAUCUGUAUUUAAUCAAUAUCUAAAAUAAAUAUUCUACCAAAAUAUUUGCCUUUUCAGCUCAGCAAAUUUUGCACAAGUUUCCAUCCCAAAACGUUGCAUUAGAUUUAUUACUGGUCUCUUAAGUAAAGAAAUAGUUUUAUAAGAGGCUGACACUAUUGAAUCUUUUCCUGAGAAGGAGGAAAAUGAACAUAAUUACAUUCAAAUAUUAGUUUUUUGUUUUCCAUAUUUCAAUUGUUGUUUUAUCAUUUGUUUGUUUAAUUUGCCUUUUAAACAAUGGUGCUAAAAUGACGUAUUUAAUAAAAUCUAGAUCUUUACUUCUCAAUUUCAAGUUGCAGAAUGAAAUACUAAAAAUAAUGCAAAGAGUGAACAGUGAAAAAAUUGUGAUAAAAUUUAUUCCUGAAUUUCCUAAAAAUAAUCGUGUUUUUAUUUUUGUUUCAUUAAUGGGAGUAGGACAACUCCUGGAAUUUUUGCUUUUGUGUUUUGCUUUGUUUUGUUUUGGGGUUGGGUUGUUUGUGUUUUCUGUCCCGAUGUAAAUUGUUUGUUAAGCAAAG